GUCCAGACUCCUACGGGAGGCAGCAGUGGGGGAUAUUGCACAAUGGGGGGAACCCUGAUGCAGCGACGCCGCGUGAGGGAAGACGGUUUUCGGAUUGUAAACCUCUGUCUUUAGGGACGAAACAAAUGACGGUACCUAAAGAGGAAGCCACGGCUAACUACGUGCCAGCAGCCGCGGUAAUACGGAGGAUGCGAGCGUUAUCCGGAUUUAUUGGGUUUAAAGGGUGCGCAGGCGGAAUGUCAAGUCAGCGGUAAAAUUUCGGGGCUCAACCCCGUCGUGCCGUUGAAACUGGCGUUCUUGAGUGAGCGAGAAGUAUGCGGAAUGCGUGGUGUAGCGGUGAAAUGCAUAGAUAUCGCGCAGAACCCCGAUUGCGAAGGCAGCGUGCCGUGCCGCCACUGACGCUGAGGCACGAAAGCGCGGGGAUCGAACAGGAUUAGAUACCCCAGUA
rnacentral:rRNA from 1 species